rnacentral:rRNA from 1 species
CCUACGGGCGGCAGCAGUGGGGAAUAUUGCACAAUGGGGGAAACCCUGAUGCAGCGACGCCGCGUGAGUGAAGAAGUCUUUCUGUAUGUAAAGCCCUAUCAGCAGGGAAGAAGAAAGACGGUACCUGACUAAGAAGCCCCGGCUAACUACGUGCCAGCAGCCGCGGUAAUACGUAGGGGGCAAGCGUUAUCCGGAUUUACUGGGUGUAAAGGGAGCGUAGACGGCUGUGCAAGUCUGAAGUGAAAGCCCAGGGCUCAACCCUGGGACUGCUUUGGAAACUGUGGAGCUAGUGUGCUGGAGAGGUAAGUGGAAUGCCUGGUGUAGCGGUGAAAUGCGUAGAUAUUGGGAAGAACACCAGUGGCGAAGGCGGCUUGCUGGACAGUAACUGACGUUGAGGCUCGAAAGCGUGGGGAGCGAACAGGAUUAGAUACCCGGGUAGUC